GAUGAACGCUGGCGGUCUGCUUAACACAUGCAAGUCGAACGGAAUCCUUAGGGGUUUAGUGGCGGACGGGUGAGUAACACGUAAGAACCUGCCUCUAGGACGGGGACAACAGUUGGAAACGACUGCUAAACCCGGAUGAGCCGAAAGGUAAAAGAUUUAUCGCCUAGAGAGGGGCUUGCGUCUGAUUAGCUAGUUGGUAGGGUAAAGGCUUACCAAGGCGACGAUCAGUAGCUGGUCUGAGAGGAUGAUCAGCCACACUGGGACUGAGACACGGCCCAGACUCCUACGGGAGGCAGCAGUGGGGAAUUUUCCGCAAUGGGCGAAAGCCUGACGGAGCAAGACCGCGUGGGGGAGGAAGGUUCUUGGAUUGUCAACCCCUUUUCUCAGGGAAGAACGCAAUGACGGUACCUGAGGAAAAAGCAUCGGCUAACUCCGUGCCAGCAGCCGCCGUAAAAC
rnacentral:rRNA from 1 species